AGCUCCAAUAGCGUAUAUUAAAGUUGUUGCAGUUAAAAAGCUCGUAGUUGGAUUUGGGAUUGUGAUUGGGUGGUCGGCCGCGAGGUCUGUUACUGCCCACUCACAUCAUUACAUUCUCGCAGACCUGUCGUGUCCUUCACUGGGCGCGGCACGGGAUUCGGGACGUUUACUUUGAAAAAAUUAGAGUGUUCAAAGCGGGCUACUACAGCCGGAAUACAUGAGCAUGGAAUAAUGGAAUAGGACCGCGGUUCUAUUUUGUUGGUUUCUACGACCGCAGUAAUGAUUAAGAGGGACAAUUGGGGGCAUCCGUAUUUCGUUGUCAGAGGUGAAAUUCUUGGAUUUACGAAAGACGAACAACUGCGAAAGCAUUUGCCAAGAGUGUUUUCA
rnacentral:rRNA from 1 species